GGAGGUAAAAGUCGUAACAAGGUCUCCGUAGGUGAACCUGCGGAGGGAUCAUUACAGAGUUCUCGCCCUCGCGGGUAGAUCUCCCACCCUUGAAUAUUUAUACCUUAGUUGCUUUGGCAGGCCGUGGAAACACCAUGGGCUCCGGCUCAUGCGUGCCUGCCAGAGGAAACAAACUCUGUUUUUAGUGAUGUCUGAGUACAAUAUAAUAGUUAAAACUUUCAACAACGGAUCUCUUGGUUCUG
rnacentral:misc_RNA from 1 species